rnacentral:misc_RNA from 1 species
UGUUGCUAUUUACCCUUACACUUGGUGUUUUACAUUCUUUUGAAAUUAGUCAUUGUUAAUUAUUAAUAACUAAAUAAUUGUGUAUUGUAUAAUUAAAGUUCUAUUAUUGACUAUACUCUGAUAAAAUAAUCACCAGUGAUGACGGAUAGAGAAAGUAAUGGAAAAUAUGAUGGAGACGAUGCUGGUGAUGGCGAGAACAGUAAUGGAGCAAAUGAUUCUCAGCAAAGAAUACCGUUGGAAAAACAAGACAGAGAUGAACAAGAUCAUGCUGUUAGUAAAGCUGACAAAUAUAGAAAGGAAUCAGUUACAGAAAAAGAUAGAACUUCUUCAAUCGAAGGUUCAUCACAAGAUUCUCUUGACAGAAUUCUCGAUGGAGGACUCCGAAAUCCUAUGGAUGAAUCAAAACCAAUAAAAGAUCAAAAAUACGUUGAUAUUUACCAUGAGAAACCAAUCAGGCUACGUGUCAAAGUCUUAGUUCCAGUUAGGGAACACCCUAAGUUUAACUUCGUGGGAAAGUUACUUGGUCCUAAAGGAAACUCAAUGAAACGCUUACAAGAAGAAACUAUGUGUAAGAUGGCUGUGUUGGGUAGAGGAUCGAUGAAAGAUAGACAAAAGGAGGAGGAACUUCGUCAGUCUUCAGACCCCAAAUAUGCUCACCUGAAUGAUGACCUGCACGUGGAGAUCAAUGUGUUGGCUCCACCAGCUGAGGCUCAUGCUCGAAUUGCCUAUGCUCUUGCUGAACUCCGAAAAUAUUUAAUUCCCGAUAGUAAUGAUAUUAUCCGUCAAGAACAAAUGAGAGAAAUGGAACUGAGUAUGGUUGAAAGUGCCAAUCCUGAUGAUCCUAAACCUUCAUUAAGAUCAUCGAGUAUCUUAAGAUCUAGACCUAUACCGUCACCUAGAACCGUCAGACCUCCUUCAUCAGCACAUGUCAUGCCACCACCGCCCGUAUCUCGGAGUUCAUCUACACGCUCAACUUCAAAUAAAUCAAAAGUUUUCUCGAUUUUAGAUCGAGCGAGGAUUGCCAUGAAUCGGGGUUAUGGAUAUGAAGAACCAUUACCAUCAUCAAGUCGUACUCAUCAUAGUUAUGAUUAUCAUGGAUCUUCAAGUAGUAGUAGCAGAUAUGCUGAUAGGCAUUACUCUCCAACAGCUUCUGAAGACGUUUAUACGUCGUCAGCAUACUCGUCUUAUGAAUAUGAUGAUGAUCCUACAUCUCGUUCUUCUGAUUAUUACGAAACAUCAGAUUAUCCGGAUGAAUGCAGAGGAACAAAACAGAAGGUUUAAAGAUACAGCAUUUAAUACAAUAAGCCCAUUGAUUUCAUUGCAAAAGGAAGAAACAGAUAUUUAUAAUCGUUUAUUACGUGAGGUUACAGAAAAUGUAAUCCAAACGUUACAAAAAGAUGAUCUCUUCAAAUAUCUUUAUAGGACUUUAAUGUAUGUCGGUAGUUUUUAUAAACAAACUCGUGUUGGGAAACCUGAGGAGUUUGAUAUAAAUAUAAUUAUAAAAU